AGAACGAACGCUGGCGGCAUGCCUAACACAUGCAAGUCGAACGAGACCUUCGGGUCUAGUGGCGCACGGGUGCGUAACGCGUGGGAAUCUGCCCUUGGGUUCGGGAUAACAGUUGGAAACGACUGCUAAUACCGGAUGAUGACUUCGGUCCAAAGAUUUAUCGCCCAGGGAUGAGCCCGCGUAGGAUUAGCUAGUUGGUGAGGUAAAGGCUCACCAAGGCGACGAUCCUUAGCUGGUCUGAGAGGAUGAUCAGCCACACUGGGACUGAGACACGGCCCAGACUCCUACGGGAGGCAGCAGUGGGGAAUAUGGACAAUGGGCGAAAGCCUGAUCCAGCAAUGCCGCGUGAGUGAUGAAGGCCUUAGGUGUAAAGCUCGUUUACCCGGGAUGAUAAUGACAGUACCGGAGAAGUAACGCCCCGGACUAACUCCGUGCCAGCAGCCGAC
rnacentral:rRNA from 1 species